UUGCUCACAUCUUCCCUCUAACCGAGAUCAAGGGGGUUACAUCUCUCAUAUCCACUAGUGAAGGGAUUAGUGGAAAUAACUGUAUCA
rnacentral:ncRNA from 1 species